CAGUUGUACACCAUUCCCAAACAACCAAACAAAACAGAUAAAAACAACAACAACAAGAUGAACUUGAAUGAAGAAAUAUUCUGGUGGAGCUUGAGUAAUCCAUAUUUUAAAAAUUACAAGUGUCACUGGUAAUUUGAAGGCAGAUCAGGCAUCUUCUAAAUCAAAAUGGAUGGACCUCACUGGAAAAUACUACCAACAGUUAUAAAGGGAAUGAUGUCGAUCUCACAAGUGUCGCUCUCAAUGCAGCAGGAGUGAAGAAGCCAAGAACUCAGUAAACACUGAGCUUGUUUUGCCAUUUAAAGUAAGUUAGUUUUCAUAAGGAUGAAAAAGUGCCUCCAGAGACAACACGUUGCUGAGAAGAAUUAGACGACCAAAGUGUUUGUUCGCCACAUGGGAAUUCCUUAGUACUCAUCAAGAUAUCUGGUAUCCUUCCUUGAGAUAUCAUUUAUUAUGGGACUGUUUAUCUCUUUUCUUAUCUGGGCAACAGAUGUGUUGGCCUAGAUUUGAAGACUCCAUUCUUUUCUGAGCUAUCAAAAAAUCAAUGGAGAGGAAUGCAACAACAGAAAUGAAACCAUGUCCAACAAACAAAGAUUCACAGUCGUUGCAACUCUCAAGCUACUCCUUUUGUCCUUGUUACUUGUAGAAAAUGUGGACUGACUUUAUUUAGUGUAGUAAAAUAUCGGUUUGUCCCAAACUGUUUCUGAUGUUUCAUUGUUUUCCAUGUGGCGAAAGUGAUGGAAAAGCUGUGCUACUACUCUCAAAGAUCUUCGUAUUAAUAUUGUACAGCCUGCAAUAUUCAGACCUCAGUCUGUUUCUGAGAACUAAAGAGUCAAAGUAUGUUUUCAGUAUAUUUUAUUAUGGAUAUCUGUGAUCUUACAGUAAAAACUACAAGUCUCUCUUAAAGCAUAUAUUCAUAAAAUAUGAAGCAAGAGAAGACUUUUAUCAUCCUCUAUUUAUGUAUAACAAAACUCUCUUUAUG